AGAAAAAGAAACAAGGCAGUGAAAGGGCCAUUCGGCCUUUUCCAUUUUAUUUUUUUUCGGAGAGGCAGAACGCCUCUCCCUCUCUUAUUUCUUCAUGGGUUUUUGUAUAAUAUCUAUGAUCCACGAAUAUCUAACGGUCCAAUCUUCGUUUCGUCUUCAGAAACGUGAUCUUAGCACUCGGAUCUACGUUUCUACCGAUCGUUUUGAGCUUGCAAAGACUCUCCAAACACUCGGUAUUAUUUGGGUAAAUUUUUGGUGACGCAUUGCAAGGUGGUGUCUAGGAGACCUAGUACUUAAAUCCGGGCAGCCAAGACGUUUAUGCUUUGGUUGCAGGUUUUGCGGAUAUAGUUAUUGACUCGUCCACCUAGUGUAUGGGAUGCUAUGAUUGGAGCAUAUCGCGACAGUCAUAAGUCACGGACUCAUGGGUAGUCCGCAUUUUGGGUAUUUUAUUUAUGGCUCGUGUACCACGUGACACAUGUAUUUGUUGAGCCUAUAUUUAGUAUGUAAUUGGUGUAAUAUGUUUUAUAAGCCUUAAAUAGAUAGUCUUGUUAAUGGCUCUUGUUGUAAUUAAUUGUUAUGUAUUAGAUGUAUUUCCGCUUAUGAUAUGUGUUCCGCUGCACAUUGAUUAUUA